UUGAGGAGUAGAGAUGGAACCACUAUGACUAACAUGUAUAUGAGAACCAUUAGGAGUGUAAAUUGUAGGUGAGUGAGAUAAUUUAUUUGUGGAAGUAAGAAGAGAGAAAUUGAAGGUCAUAUGGUUACAACAAGCAGAGUCAAGAUACCAAGAUUGGUUACCUAAGGUGGCGGACAGAGCAGAAGAGAGAUUGGCCUUAGAUAGAACCUGAUGGACAAGGGCUUUGUUGCCCAGUAGAUACAACCCAAGAGGGGGGGUGAAUUGGGUCUUUUAAAACUUUUAAGCUACUUCUGAUACUUUUUGAUUAAUUAUGCUAAGUUGUAUAGAUGCACAGUGAAAUUUAAACUUAGCA
rnacentral:lncRNA from 1 species